GACGAACGCUGGCGGCGUGCUUAACACAUGCAAGUCGAGCGGUAAGGCCCUUUCGGGGGUACACGAGCGGCGAACGGGUGAGUAACACGUGGGUGACCUGCCCUCAGCUCUGGGAUAAGCCUGGGAAACCGGGUCUAAUACCGGAUAUGACUCCAUGACGCAUGUUGUGGGGUGGAAAGCCUUGUGCGGCUGAGGAUGGGCCCGCGGCCUAUCAGCUUGUUGGUGGGGUGANGGCCUACCAAGGCGACGACGGGUAGCCGGCCUGAGAGGGCGACCGGCCACACUGGGACUGAGACACGGCCCAGACUCCUACGGGAGGCAGCAGUGGGGAAUCUUGCGCAAUGGACGAAAGCCUGACGCAGCGACGCCGCGUGAGGGAUGACGGCCU
rnacentral:rRNA from 1 species